UACGGGGGGUGCGAGCGUUAUUCGGAAUCACUGGGCGUAAAGGGCGCGUAGGCGGCCUAGCAAGUCUGGUGUGAAAGCCCAGGGCUCAACCCUGGAAGGGCACUGGAAACUGUUAGGCUUGAGUUCCGGAGAGGAGGGGGGAAUUCCCGGUGUAGCGGUGAAAUGCGUAGAUAUCGGGAGGAAUACCGGUGGCGAAGGCGCCCCUCUGGACGGAAACUGACGCUGAGGCGCGAAAGCGUGGGGAGCAAACAGG
rnacentral:rRNA from 1 species